GGCCGGCUGAGGGUUAACUGGGGGACCCUGUGGUGGCACCUGCUGAUGUGGUGGGGGUACUGGAAUGUGCUGUGGCGACGCCUGCUGGUACCGUGGCUGUGGUACAGGGUCGUACCGCGGCUGUGGCGCCGGGUGGUACUGUGGAGGAACAGGCUCCUGCCGGGGUGGCUCGAGAUCAGCCUACUGUAGCGGGGGCUCAACCUGCGCUAGCGGAGGAGGUCCGGGUAACUCCCUUCUCUCCUCUUGCCUUUGCUGGGCAGUUACGAGAGCCUCCACCAUCUCAAAUAGUCUGUCUAAAUCCUCCCGAAGCGAAUUAUCUUGGGCCGCUUGGUUUAGUGGGGGCCUUCCUCUCCUCAUUCCCGUGUACUCGUCUUCACAAGUAAUGAUUGAGUAACGAUAUAUCGAUGAGUAUUACUCUAAGGCACUAUUGUGUAAGGGAUGGGUCCGAGGAAAUGCGGCUCUGAUACCAACUGUAACGGCCCCGGAAAAUAUUAAAAUGAAAUGAGUAUUUAAAUAUAUCAAAUGCGGAAGCGAGAUCAAAAUUUCAAUUAACAUCCCUUACACGAAAAACCAAA
rnacentral:lncRNA from 1 species